GAAGGCUGCUGCAGGCUUCAAGAUUGUGUUCGGGGGCGGGACAAGCAUGACAGUGGAAAUCAGGAUGAUCUUAAUAUAUACGACAUCACAGACACUUGUAGAAGGGUGUCCAGUCGAUAUGGAUGAUAUGAAAGUCUAGUGGACGCGGGCUGUGAAAAGGCGAACCGCUGAUGUGAAAUUAGUUUGAGUGUCGCAACUGGUAAAUUUUCCCAUGGAUGCUGGAACGAGCAGAUAAUGGGUACGUUGACAAUGCAUUUUAUUUGUGUGUGGAAACAUGAAGGAAAAUAACAAAUGGGAUUUUGCUUGUAUCGCGCUUUUGAAGGCACUCAAAGCACUUGAACAAUCCUCAUCAGCAUCAGGACCAAGUUGGGGCUUUGGUAUUUUGCUCAAGGACCCUUGAGCAUGGUCACUUGGGCCUUCAGGCUGGAAAAUGACCAUAACACCACCUCAUCCCCAUAAGGACUCCGAUUGUGCUGUUGUCAAGGUUUCACUGAAGGUUUAUGUCAUGGGACCAACUGAUGUGUGUCAGGAGGUCAGAGAUUACUUUUUGGAAGCGGUACCAGACUGACUGUGGAGACUCGUAAGUUUGGCUUUGAUGUAUCGCAACCCGAAUUGUGUCACUACCUCAUAGAGAUGAAAUAAAACAACAUAAAAUGCAGUUUUUGUGUCCGUUUUUUAAAACCGCGAAGCCUAUUGAGUUUGCAGCUUCACAACAGAUCUCAGGAGGUUCUUGUAUAGGAAGUAACUAAUGUGUGACAGGAUACAGGUUACUUUUUGGAGGUGGAAUCAGAUUGACAGUGGAAACCUGUAAGUGGGAUUUAUUUAUUUUUUUGGAAGAUAAUUAAUUAGUUUUGUUUGAAUUAAAAUCAGAAA